rnacentral:rRNA from 1 species
AACGCGAAGAACCUUACCUGGGCUUGACAUCUGAGGAACCUCAGGGAAACCUGGGGGUGCCCAGCAAUGGGAGCCUCAAGACAGGUGCUGCAUGGCUGUCGUCAGCUCGUGUCGUGAGAUGUUGGGUUAAGUCCCGCAACGAGCGCAACCCUUGUCUCUAGUUGCCAUCAUUCAGUUGGGCUACUCUAGAGAGACUGCCGGUGAUAAACCGGAGGAAGGUGGGGACGACGUCAAGUCCUCAUGGCCUUUA